AAGAUGAUGCUUUCAGGGGUCAUUUCUGCAGUUCCUUACCAAAGAAGUUUCUCUGAACAUGCAAAACUGGCCACCAUUUGCCGCUGAUGAUGGUUUUUCUCUCCCUUUGGGGGACUAAGAGGGAGAGGAUGAAUCCUGAGUGGU
rnacentral:snoRNA from 1 species